UUGUUGGAUAUCUUCUGAUGCUUUUUAACAUCGGAUGUAGUCGUUCAUAUUUUUGUAGGUGUAACUAAUAUAGUUUUUCUUUUUCAACAACUUCAACAUUGCAGGUUGUUACUAUGGGUUAAUAGCGCAUUGUUGCCGAUUUGUUACUGGUUAGAUGCUUUCUUUAAGAACUGAGAAUUCGUGGGAUUUCAAGG